AUGGCUUCCUCCGCGCUGGCCUCCCCGUCGCCGCGCCCUCCGCCACGCGGCAACCGCCAGCCUCGCGCGCGCCCAGCAGCCGCAGCCGCCGCCGCUCCAGUGCCGCGCCGUGUCGGCGCCGCCGCGCGCUGCCGGGCGGUGGCCGCACCCGCCGGCCCCUCGUCACCCGGGGUGGCGGGGAGGCCGGAGGCGGACGUGGUGCUGAUCGGGAGCGGGCUCGGGGGGCUCUGCUGCGCGGGGCUGCUGGCGAGGUACGGGCAGGACGUGGUGGUGCUGGAGAGCCACGACCGGCCCGGCGGCGCGGCCCACUCGUUCGACGUCAAGGGGUUCCACUUCGACUCCGGCCCCUCGCUCUUCUCCGGCUUCCAGUCCAGAGGGCCCCAGGCCAACCCCCUCGCCCAGGUCCUCGACGCGUUACGCGAAUCGGUCCCGUGCGCCUCGUAUGACUCCUGGAUGGUGCAUGUCCCCGAAGGACAGUUCGAGUCGCGGAUAGGGCCGACUGAUUUCCUCAAGGACCUUGAGACUUAUGUUGGCCUUGACGCAACCCGGGAGUGGCAAAAGCUUCUAGAUGCAGUCAUUCCUAUAUCUGCAGCUGCGAUGGCUCUGCCUCCGCUCUCCAUCCGAGGCGAUCUGGGCAUCCUUUCCACGGCAGCCGGUAGAUACGCACCUUCUCUGUUGCAGUCCUUGAUAAAAAUGGGGCCUCGGGGCGCCCUAGGCGCCACGAAACUGCUACGCCCGUUCUCCGAGAUUGUCGACUCGCUGGAGCUGAAAAAUCCCUUUGUCCGGAACUGGAUCGACCUCCUGUGCUUUCUGCUCGCCGGCGUCAAAUCCGACAGCGCGCUCUCUGCAGAAAUGGUUUAUAUGUUUGCAGAAUGGUACAAGCCAGGAUGCAAGCUGGAGUACCCUCUCGGCGGGAGUGGAGCCAUAAUCGAUGCCCUCGUACGGGGUAUCGAAAAGUUCGGUGGAAGACUUGCUCUUAAUUCUCAUGUGGAGAAGAUUUUGAUCGAGAACGGUCGGGCUGUUGGCGUCAAGCUACGAAGUGGACAGAUCGUACGUGCGAAGAAAGCGGUCGUUAGCAACGCGUCCAUGUGGGACACCCUGGGUCUUCUCCCACCAGACGCCGUCCCGAGAUCAUACCAAGAUCAAGUGAAGGCGACGCCGCAGUGCGAUUCGUUCAUGCACCUCCACCUGGGUUUCGACGCGGAGUGUGUCAAGGAGGACCUUGGGAUCCAUCAUAUUGUGGUUAACGACUGGGACAAAGGAGUCGACGGCGAGCAGAAUGUCGUGCUGAUAUCCGUCCCCAGCGUUCUCGGCGAGGGCCUGGCGCCGCCGGGGAAGCACAUCCUUCACGCGUACACGCCGGGGACGGAGCCUUUCGGCCUGUGGGAGGGGCUCGACCGGAAGAGCGCGGCAUACCGGAGUCUGAAAGAGGAGCGUUCCGAGGUGAUGUGGAAGGCGGUGGAGCUGGCGCUGGGCCCGAAGUUCAGCCGGGAAAAGUGCGAGGUGAAGCUGGUGGGCACGCCGCUGACGCACAAGCGGUUCCUCCGGCGGAACCGGGGCACCUACGGCCCGGCGAUAAAGGCCGGGGAGGCGACGUUCCCGGGGCAGGCGACGCCGGUCCCGCAGCUCUUCUGCUGCGGCGACUCCACCUUCCCCGGGAUCGGCGUGCCCGCGGUGGCCGCCAGCGGGGCCAUCGUCGCCAACACGCUCGUCUCCGUGGCGCAGCACUCGGAGCUCCUCGACGCCGUCGGCAUCUGA
rnacentral:rRNA from 1 species